AACGAACGCUGGCGGCAUGCCUAACACAUGCAAGUCGAACGAGACCUUCGGGUCUAGUGGCGCACGGGUGCGUAACGCGUGGGAACCUGCCCUUAGGUUCGGAAUAACUCCCCGAAAGGGGUGCUAAUACCGGAUAAUGUCUUCGGACCAAAGAUUUAUCGCCUUUGGAUGGGCCCGCGUUGGAUUAGCUAGUUGGUAGGGUAAAAGCCUACCAAGGCGAGGAUCCAUAGCUGGUCUGAGAGGAUGAUCAACCACACUGGGACUGAGACACGGCCCAGACUCUGACGGGAGGCAGCAGUGGGGAAUAUUGGACCCUGGGCCAGAGCCUGAUCCAGCCGCGCCGCGUGAGUGAUGCAGGCCUUAGGGUAGUAAAGCCGUUUUCCCCGCGAUGAUAAUGACGGUAACGGGAGAAUAAGCACCGGCUAACUCCGGG
rnacentral:rRNA from 1 species